AACGAACGUUGGCGGCGUGGAUUAGGCAUGCAAGUCGUACGCGAAAGAGGGGGCAACUCCUCGAGUAAAGUGGCGAACGGGUGAGUAACGCGUAGGAAACCUGCCUUCGAGAUGGGGAGUAACACUCCUAACGGGUGGCUAAUACCGAAUGACACUGCGGGAUCGCAUGGUUCUGCAGUCAAAGGUGGCCUCUGCUUGCAAGCUACCACUCAAAGAUGGUCCUGCGUCCCANAG
rnacentral:rRNA from 1 species